rnacentral:rRNA from 1 species
UUGUCAUCAGCUCGUGUCGUGAGAUGUUGGGUUAAGUCCCGCAACGAGCGCAACCCCUAUUGUUAGUUGCCAUCAUUCAGUUGGGCACUCUAGCGAGACUGCCGGUAAUAACCGGAGGAAGUGGGGAUGACGUCAAAUCAUCAUGCCCCUUAUGACCUGGGCUACACACGUGCUACAAUGGUUGGUACAACGAGUUGCGAGUCGGUGACGGCGAGCUAAUCUCUUAAAGCCAAUCUCAGUUCGGAUUGUAGGCUGCAACUCGCCUACAUGAAGUCGGAAUCGCUAGUAAUCGCGGAUCAGCACGCCCGCGUCGAUACGUUCCGGCCUU